GUGUCCACAUGGGGGACAUCCCCUGAGAACUUCAUGUCUUUAUAAUCCACUCUCAGUACCCACCACAGACCCGCAGUGAACUUUGGUAGCCUUGUUUUACAAUGGCCAGACUUUGGUCCCAGACCUCUGAACAUCAUGUGUUCAUCUGAAUCUGAUGGUUUGCACACGAAGAUCUUCCUGUGUUCUCUGGAUUUUCUACGAACUUGUACCCAUGCCAAGGAAACACGACAAGUUAAAAUGAUACUGAAUAACUGAAAUGAAAACCCCUAAAUGUAUUUUUUACAGACAUUAGUUUGUGACUUGCAAACUCACGUCCGUGGGCUACAAGAAAGAGAGACCUUGGAACCUGCGCCAACUACUGCGCAGAGCUUCUCCAACAGAGUCUGUGCAUUUUUCCCUGGCUGGAUUCUUUUUACACUCUUCAGGAUUGACUGUCCUUUGCUUUCAAGCAGAAGGACAUCUGAUUUCUAAACAACCUCCAUGGAGAACACCACAGAUGUGACCCAGUACAUCCUCCUAGGACUGACCAAAGUCACAAACCUAAGAGUCCCUCUUGUAUAUUCACUCUUACAUAUGCCAUAAAUGUCAUUGGAAACCUGGGGAUGAUCUUGUUGAUUCUUUUGGACUCUCGUCUCCACACACA